UACGGAGGGUGGCGAGCGUUGUCCGGAAUCACUGGGCGUAAAGGGCGCGUAGGCGGCGCGGAUAGUCGGCGGUGAAAGCCCGGAGCUCAACUCCGGGUCGGCCGUCGAUACUUCCGGGCUUGAGCACUGUAGAGGCAGAUGGAAUUCCGGGUGUAGCGGUGGAAUGCGUAGAGAUCCGGAAGAACACCGGUGGCGAAGGCGGUCUGCUGGGCAGUUGCUGACGCUGAUG
rnacentral:rRNA from 1 species